AUUGAACGCUGGCGGUAUGCCUUACACAUGCAAGUCGAACGGUAGAGGGGCAACCCUUGAGAGUGGCGAACGGGUGAGUAGUACAUCGGAACGUGCCCAGUCGUGGGGGAUAACGUAGCGAAAGCUACGCUAAUACCGCAUACGACCCGAGGGUGAAAGCGGGGGACUCGCAAGGGCCUCGCGCGAUUGGAGCGGCCGAUGGCAGAUUAGGUAGUUGGUGGGGUAAAGGCCCACCAAGCCUGCGAUCUGUAGCUGGUCUGAGAGGACGACCAGCCACACUGGGACUGAGACACGGCCCAGACUCCUACGGGAGGCAGCAGUGGGGAAUUUUGGACAAUGGGCGAAAGCCUGAUCCAGCCAUACCGCGUGCGGGAAGAAGGCCUUCGGGUUGUAAACCGCUUUUGUCAGGGAAGAAAUCUUCUGGGUUAAUACCUCGGGAGGAUGACGGUACCUGAAGAAUAAGCACCGGCUAACUACGUGUCAGCAGCCGCCGUAAUAC
rnacentral:rRNA from 1 species